rnacentral:sRNA from 1 species
UUAACAGCCUUGGAGAGUGAAUCGCUUGGUGUACUCCCCAAAGCAGGCAAAGCAAGUAUAGUGGGAGUGCACGCUUCCCAUACUGCACCAUCAAUGUGCCUCAACCCUGUUCUGGCAGGACCACUAUUAGUGGGAUAAUGAAGUAGUUCACUUUCCAGGCUCACAGAAUCUUUGGAGACU